rnacentral:rRNA from 1 species
UACGGGGGGGGCGAAGCGUUGUUCGGAAUUACUGGGCGUAAAGGGCUCGUAGGUGGCCAACUAAGUCAGACGUGAAAUCCCUCGCUUAACUGGGAGGGUGCGCCGGAAACUGGAGUGCUCGAGCGUGGGAGAGGAAAGCGGAAGUCCUGGUGUAGCGGUGAAAUGCGUAGAUAUCAGGAGGAACACCUGCGGUGUAGACGGCUUUCUGGACCAUUGCUGACGCUGAGACACGAAAGCGUGGGUAGCAAACAGG